UACGUAGGUGGCAAGCGUUAUCCGGAUUUAUUGGGUGUAAAGGGCGUGUAGGCGGGAGCGCAAGUCAGAUGUGAAAACUCAGGGCUCAACCCUGAGCCUGCAUUUGAAACUGUGUUUCUUGAGUGCUGGAGAGGCAAUCGGAAUUUCGUGUGUAGCGGUGAAAUGCGUAGAUAUACGGAGGAACACCAGUGGCGAAGGCGGAUUACUGGACUGUAACUGACGUUGAGGCUCGAAAGCGUGGGGAGCAAACAGG
rnacentral:rRNA from 1 species